UCAAUUGGUAAGGUGCUUGCUAGCGUGC
rnacentral:piRNA from 1 species